rnacentral:lncRNA from 1 species
CAUAAGGAGCUGGAGCAGGGAAGGCUGGUGAGAAAGAACGGAAAGAGGAAGGCUGGAGAGAGAGAGGUUAGAAAGGGAAAAGCUGGAGAGGGAGCGACUGGAACAAGAACAGCUGGAGAGCCAGAGAGAGAGACAAGAACAGGAACAGCAAACUCCUGAAUCUGGAGAGGCAAGAAAGACAAGAAAGAGAGAGGCUAGAGAGACUGAAAUGGGAGAGGCAAGAGAGGGAGCGACAAGAACAGUUAGAAAGGGAACAACUGGAAUGGGAGAGAGAGCGCAGAAUAUCAAAUGCUGCUGCCCCUGCCUCUGUUGAGACUCGUCUAAACUCUGUGCUGGGAGACUCUUCUGCUUCUGACCCAGGCUUGCAGGCAGCCUCUCAGCUGGCCGAGACUCCAGCCCAAAAGGGCAUUGUCUUGGGACCUCUUGCACCUCCACCUCCUCCACCACUCCCACCAAGGCCCGCACAGGCUUCAGCAGCACUCCCUCCUCUUCCAGGGCCCCCUCCACCGCCUCCAUUCCCCAUCCACUGGGCCUCCACUGGCCCCUUCUUCCCCCUCCUUUCCCUAAUCAAAUACCUCCUCCUCCUCCACCGCCUCCUGUCCGGCCCCUCCCUGCAUCUGGAUUCUUUUGGGGAUCCAUGUCAGAAGACAAUCGCCCUUUAACUGCACCUGCAGCUGCAAUUGCAGGAGCAAAACUUAGGAAAGUGUCACGGAUGGGGGAUGCCUCUUUCCCAAGCAGAGGGAAUGCUACUGGUGUGAACUCGGCCUCAUCUAAAACAGAUACAGGCCUACAGGCCAUGGAAAUGGACUCCUUCCUUUAGGUGGUAGUGGUUUAGUGAAAUAAAUGAGUGCCCUGCUGCCAGGAGGAAAAGAAUUGCUGAAAAGGGAUCAAAAAUAGAAACAGAAGAAAAAGGACAAAGGUGAAGAUUCAGAGCUUGUAACUUCUAAGGCCUCUUCAACAAGUACACCUGAACCAACAAGGAAACCUUGGGAAAGAACGAAUACAAUGAAUGGCAGCAAGUCACAUGUUAUCUCCAAACCAAAAUCCACACCCUUAUUACAGCCCAGUGGCAAUGGAGUCCAGAUGGAAGGACUUAACUACCACAGGCUGAAGCAGGACAUCUUAGAUGAAAUGAAAAAGGAAUGAACAAAGCUAAAAGAAGAGCUCAUUGAUGCAAUCAGGCAGACACUGAGCAAGUCAAAUACUGCA